AUUCUAGAGCUAAUACAUGCAUCAAUCCCCAACUUACAAAGGGGUGUAUUUAUUAAAUGGAAACCAAUGCGGGAAAACCCGGAAUCUGGUGAUUCAUAAUACCUCUCGAAUCGAUUGCAAAAUCAAUGCAUCAUUCAAGUUUCUGCCCUAUCACCUUUGGAUGGUAGGGUAUUGGCCUACCAUGGCUUUAACGGGUAACGAAAUUUUAGGGUUCAAUUCCGGAAAGGGAGCCUGAAAAAUGGCUACCACAUCUAAGGAAGGCAGCAGGCGCGUAAAUUACCCAAUCCUGACACAGGAAGGUAGUGACAAUAAAUAACAAUGCCGGGUUUUUUAAGUCUGGAAAUUGAAAUGAAAACAAUUUAAAUCCUUUAUCGAGAAUCAAUUGAAGGGCAGGUCUG
rnacentral:rRNA from 1 species